rnacentral:rRNA from 1 species
UACAGAGGUCUCAAGCGUUGUUCGGAUUCAUUGGGCGUAAAGGGUGUGUAGGUGGCGCGCUAAGUCGGGUGUGAAAUUUCGGAGCUUAACUCCGAAACUGCAUUCGAUACUGGCGUGCUUGAGGACUGGAGAGGAGACUGGAAUUCAUGGUGUAGCAGUGAAAUGCGUAGAUAUCUGGAGGAAUACCGGUGGCGAAGGCGGCAUCCUGGACCGGCAUUGACGCUGAUGAGCGAAAGCCAGGGGAGCGAACGGG